ensembl:lncRNA
ACUGGCUUGGAUAACCCAGUCUCAGGCUUGGAUAACACUGGCUUGGAUAACCCAGUCUCGGGCUUGGAUAACUCUGGCUUGGAUAACCCCGUCUCGGGCUUGGACAACACUGGCUUAGAUAACCCAGUCUCGGGCUUGUACAACACUGGCUUGGAUAACACUGGCUUGGAUAACCCAGUCUCAGGCUUGGAUAACACUGGCUUGGAUAACCCAGUCUCGGGCUUGGAUAACACUGGCUUGGAUAACCCAGUCUCAGGCUUGGAUAACACUGGCUUGAAUAACACUGGCUUGGAUAACCCAGUCUCGGGCUUGGACAACACUGGUUUGGAUAACACUGGCUUGGAUAACCCAGUCUCAGGCUUGGAUAACACUGGCUUGGAUAACCCAGUCUCAGGCUUGGAUAACACUGGC